UGGGGCGUUAGCUCAGUUGGUAGAGCAGCGGACUCUUAAUCCGUAGGUCGAGUGUUCGAGUCACUCACGCCCCACCAA
rnacentral:tRNA from 13 species